CCCUUCUUUUUGUUGGGUGGUAACCCUAAGAAAAAACUUCUGAGAAGUUUUCGCAAUCUUUUCCCUUGGCGAAGAUAUGAAGAACUUGGACAGAAACCCUAGGGGCAGCAAUUGGGAGUCUAAAAUUAAUUACUACCGACCGGAGUAGUAUUUGUUGCUGUUAGUUUUUCUGUAUAAAGGUUGAGAUGGUUAAAAUAUGAAUUUUGUUGGGGAUUCUAUGUUCAUCCUUCACUUUAUCCCUUCCAUGCCAAAUGCUGCCUAGCUCUCUCUCUCUCUCUCUCUCUCUCUCUCUCUCUCUCUCUCGGGGCAAUUGGUCAUUAAGCUGAAUACGCU